rnacentral:rRNA from 1 species
GAUGAACGCUCUCUACAGGCUUAACACAUGCAAGUCGAGGGGCAUCGUGAAGAAAGCUUGCUUUCUUUGCCGGCGACCGGCGCACGGGUGAGUAACACGUAUCCAACCUGCCCUUUACUCGGGGAUAGCCUUUCGAAAGAAAGAUUAAUACCCGAUAGCAUAAUGAUUCCGCAUGGUUUCAUUAUUAAAGGAUUCCGGUAAAGGAUGGGGAUGCGUUCCAUUAGGUUGUUGGUGGGGUAACGGCCCACCAAGCCUUCGAUGGAUAGGGGUUCUGAGAGGAAGGUCCCCCACAUUGGAACUGAGACACGGUCCAAACUCCUACGGGAGGCAGCAGUGAGGAAUAUUGGUCAAUGGGCGCUAGCCUGAACCAGCCAAGUAGCGUGAAGGAUGAAGGCUCUAUGGGUCGUAAACUUCUUUUAUAUAAGAAUAAAGUGCAGUAUGUAUACUGUUUUGUAUGUAUUAUAUGAAUAAGGAUCGGCUAACUCCGUGCCAGCAGCCGCGGUAAUACGGAGGAUCCGAGCGUUAUCCGGAUUUAUUGGGUUUAAAGGGAGCGUAGGUGGACUGGUAAGUCAGUUGUGAAAGUUUGCGGCUCAACCGUAAAAUUGCAGUUGAUACUGUCAGUCUUGAGUACAGUAGAGGUGGGCGGAAUUCGUGGUGUAGCGGUGAAAUGCUUAGAUAUCACGAAGAACUCCGAUUGCGAAAGCAGCUCACUGGACUGCAACUGACACUGAUGCUCGAAAUGUGGGUAUCAAACAGG